rnacentral:rRNA from 1 species
AAAUUGAAGAGUUUGAUCAUGGCUCAGAUUGAACGCUGGCGGCAGGCCUAACACAUGCAAGUCGAGCGGAAACGAGUUAUCUGAACCUUCGGGGRACGAUAACGGCGUCGAGCGGCGGACGGGUGAGUAAUGCCUAGGAAAUUGCCCUGAUGUGGGGGAUAACCAUUGGAAACGAUGGCUAAUACCGCAUGAUGCCUACGGGCCAAAGAGGGGGACCUUCGGGCCUCUCGCGUCAGGAUAUGCCUAGGUGGGAUUAGCUAGUUGGUGAGGUAAGGGCUCACCAAGGCGACGAUCCCUAGCUGGUCUGAGAGGAUGAUCAGCCACACUGGAACUGAGACACGGU